GGUUAAGCGACUAAGCGUACACGGUGGAUGCCCUGGCAGUCAGAGGCGAUGAAGGACGUGCUAAUCUGCGAUAAGCGUCGGUAAGGUGAUAUGAACCGUUAUAACCGGCGAUUUCCGAAUGGGGAAACCCAGUGUGUUUCGACACACUAUCAUUAACUGAAUCCAUAGGUUAAUGAGGCGAACCGGGGGAACUGAAACAUCUAAGUACCCCGAGGAAAAGAAAUCAACCGAGAUUCCCCCAGUAGCGGCGAGCGAACGGGGAGCAGCCCAGAGCCUGAAUCAGUGUGUGUGUUAGUGGAAGCGUCUGGAAAGGCGCGCGAUACAGGGUGACAGCCCCGUACACAAAAAUGCACAUGCUGUGAGCUCGAUGAGUAGGGCGGGACACGUGGUAUCCUGUCUGAAUAUGGGGGGACCAUCCUCCAAGGCUAAAUACUCCUGACUGACCGAUAGUGAACCAGUACCGUGAGGGAAAGGCGAAAAGAACCCCGGCGAGGGGAGUGAAAAAGAACCUGAAACCGUGUACGUACAAGCAGUGGGAGCACGCUUAGGCGUGUGACUGCGUACCUUUUGUAUAAUGGGUCAGCGACUUAUAUUCUGUAGCAAGGUUAACCGAAUAGGGGAGCCGAAGGGAAACCGAGUCUUAACUGGGCGUUAAGUUGCAGGGUAUAGACCCGAAACCCGGUGAUCUAGCCAUGGGCAGGUUGAAGGUUGGGUAACACUAACUGGAGGACCGAACCGACUAAUGUUGAAAAAUUAGCGGAUGACUUGUGGCUGGGGGUGAAAGGCCAAUCAAACCGGGAGAUAGCUGGUUCUCCCCGAAAGCUAUUUAGGUAGCGCCUCGUGAAUUCAUCUCCGGGGGUAGAGCACUGUUUCGGCAAGGGGGUCAUCCCGACUUACCAACCCGAUGCAAACUGCGAAUACCGGAGAAUGUUAUCACGGGAGACACACGGCGGGUGCUAACGUCCGUCGUGAAGAGGGAAACAACCCAGACCGCCAGCUAAGGUCCCAAAGUCAUGGUUAAGUGGGAAACGAUGUGGGAAGGCCCAGACAGCCAGGAUGUUGGCUUAGAAGCAGCCAUCAUUUAAAGAAAGCGUAAUAGCUCACUGGUCGAGUCGGCCUGCGCGGAAGAUGUAACGGGGCUAAACCAUGCACCGAAGCUGCGGCAGCGACACUAUGUGUUGUUGGGUAGGGGAGCGUUCUGUAAGCCUGUGAAGGUGUGCUGUGAGGCAUGCUGGAGGUAUCAGAAGUGCGAAUGCUGACAUAAGUAACGAUAAAGCGGGUGAAAAGCCCGCUCGCCGGAAGACCAAGGGUUCCUGUCCAACGUUAAUCGGGGCAGGGUGAGUCGACCCCUAAGGCGAGGCCGAAAGGCGUAGUCGAUGGGAAACAGGUUAAUAUUCCUGUACUUGGUGUUACUGCGAAGGGGGGACGGAGAAGGCUAUGUUGGCCGGGCGACGGUUGUCCCGGUUUAAGCGUGUAGGCUGGUUUUCCAGGCAAAUCCGGAAAAUCAAGGCUGAGGCGUGAUGACGAGGCACUACGGUGCUGAAGCAACAAAUGCCCUGCUUCCAGGAAAAGCCUCUAAGCAUCAGGUAACAUCAAAUCGUACCCCAAACCGACACAGGUGGUCAGGUAGAGAAUACCAAGGCGCUUGAGAGAACUCGGGUGAAGGAACUAGGCAAAAUGGUGCCGUAACUUCGGGAGAAGGCACGCUGAUAUGUAGGUGAAGUCCCUCGCGGAUGGAGCUGAAAUCAGUCGAAGAUACCAGCUGGCUGCAACUGUUUAUUAAAAACACAGCACUGUGCAAACACGAAAGUGGACGUAUACGGUGUGACGCCUGCCCGGUGCCGGAAGGUUAAUUGAUGGGGUUAGCCGCAAGGCGAAGCUCUUGAUCGAAGCCCCGGUAAACGGCGGCCGUAACUAUAACGGUCCUAAGGUAGCGAAAUUCCUUGUCGGGUAAGUUCCGACCUGCACGAAUGGCGUAAUGAUGGCCAGGCUGUCUCCACCCGAGACUCAGUGAAAUUGAACUCGCUGUGAAGAUGCAGUGUACCCGCGGCAAGACGGAAAGACCCCGUGAACCUUUACUAUAGCUUGACACUGAACAUUGAGCCUUGAUGUGUAGGAUAGGUGGGAGGCUUUGAAGUGUGGACGCCAGUCUGCAUGGAGCCGACCUUGAAAUACCACCCUUUAAUGUUUGAUGUUCUAACGUUGACCCGUAAUCCGGGUUGCGGACAGUGUCUGGUGGGUAGUUUGACUGGGGCGGUCUCCUCCUAAAGAGUAACGGAGGAGCACGAAGGUUGGCUAAUCCUGGUCGGACAUCAGGAGGUUAGUGCAAUGGCAUAAGCCAGCUUGACUGCGAGCGUGACGGCGCGAGCAGGUGCGAAAGCAGGUCAUAGUGAUCCGGUGGUUCUGAAUGGAAGGGCCAUCGCUCAACGGAUAAAAGGUACUCCGGGGAUAACAGGCUGAUACCGCCCAAGAGUUCAUAUCGACGGCGGUGUUUGGCACCUCGAUGUCGGCUCAUCACAUCCUGGGGCUGAAGUAGGUCCCAAGGGUAUGGCUGUUCGCCAUUUAAAGUGGUACGCGAGCUGGGUUUAGAACGUCGUGAGACAGUUCGGUCCCUAUCUGCCGUGGGCGCUGGAGAACUGAGGGGGGCUGCUCCUAGUACGAGAGGACCGGAGUGGACGCAUCACUGGUGUUCGGGUUGUCAUGCCAAUGGCACUGCCCGGUAGCUAAAUGCGGAAGAGAUAAGUGCUGAAAGCAUCUAAGCACGAAACUUGCCCCGAGAUGAGUUCUCCCUGACUCCUUGAGAGUCCUGAAGGAACGUUGAAGACGACGACGUUGAUAGGCCGGGUGUGUAAGCGCAGCGAUGCGUUGAGCUAACCGGUACUAAUGAACCGUGAGGCUUAACCUU
rnacentral:rRNA from 3 species